GUGCGCGAGCGGACAUGACGUGUGGCUGUCGUAAAAACCCUAUUUGUAAACAACCAGCCCUUUAACUCGGGGCUGCGUCAUAAGCACGGCGCGCUUGGAAGACCACGAUGUCAUCUUCCUUCUGUCAGGAGGAUCCAAGUGAAGCUACAGGAGUUUCAUUAACGUCAACAACUUGGACCAAACAGUUUGUUUUGCUUGAUGAAGAGCAGGAAGGGCAGCCUGGAGAGAAAGAGAAGCCGGGUUGAGCCCACUACCAUCAUCCACGUACCACGAGGAAGAUGAGGGAGAGAAAUGAUCCUACCAUUAAAGAGACUGUGAAAAGAACGUUGAGAACAUCACCACUCUACAGGAAGACACAGUCCAGUAAUGGGUGUCAGAAGUUCAGUAGUGAACGACAGAAACAAACAAUCCAAAUUACCUGCAGAAAGCCCUUGAUGGACGCUUCAGCUGCAUCGUCAGACUGGCAGUACUGAUGCAUUUACUGAGACGGGACGUGAGGGCCUACUCUGCGUGCUCAGAGUUCAAGCCCAGCAGGCUGCAGCGGGCCUGACAUAUUCUGGAACAGCAGCACAGUCUUUGGAUGACUCCUCUGAAGAUGAAAACAUGGCGAGUUCUUCUCAAGAGAAGCAGUACAGGUGUGCCUCAGCUCCACGGUCCCUCCUGCAGCCUCCGCUCCUGAUGCUAACCUCAUGUCUCCAUCACACCAAGCAGCAGACCUGGAUUGACAGACCUUUCUCCAGAGCUGCCCCCUCCCUCUGAAACCCCCCUCUCCAAAACACUAUUUGUGUAGUUUUUAAAGUAUUUUUUGCAUGAGAAUUGUUGAUCAUAACAUUUCCAGCAGAUGCCUUAAUAUAAUGUU